GUCUGUCCGUCUGUCCGUCCGUAUGUCACAGCCACUUUUCUCCGAAACUAUAAGAACUAUACUAUGUAUUCUGUGAACCGCAUUAAGAUUUUCAUACAAAAAUAGAAAAAAAAAACAAAAAAUUUUGGGGGUUCCCCAUACUUAGAACUGAAACUCAAAAAAAUUUUUUCAUCAAACCCAUACGUGUGGGGUAUCUAUGGAUAGGUCUUCAAAAAUGAUAUUGAGGUUUCUAAUAUCAUUUUUUUCUAAACUGAAUAGUUUGCGCGAGAGACACUUCCAAAGUGGUAAAAUGUGUCCCCCCCCCCUGUAACUUCUAAAAUAAGAGAAUGAUAAAACUAAAAAAAUAUAUGAUGUACAUUACCAUGCAAACUUCCACCGAAAAUUGGUUUGAACGAGAUCUAGUACGUAAUUUUUUUUAAUACGUCA